rnacentral:misc_RNA from 1 species
GGAAGUAAAAGUCGCAACAAGGUCUUCGUAGGUGAACCUGCGGAGGGAUCAUUACAGAGUUCGUGCCCUCACGGGUAGAUCUCCCACCCUGUGUUAUUAUACCUUUGUUGCUUUGGCGGGCCGCCCUCGGCUACCGGCCCCGGCUGGUACGCGCCCGCCAGAGGACCCCAAACUCUGAAUGUUAGUGUCGUCUGAGUACUAUACAAUAGUUAAAACUUUCAACAACGGAUCUCUUGGUUCUG